UGACAGGUUCAUCUCAAUGCUUCUCUUAGCACUGAAAUGUUAUGUUCGUCUCUAGGAUUUGAAAAAGGUUUGAAAACAUUUUAAACACUGAACGUAAUCUGCUUUAAAUGUACUGUGUUCAGUGAACAGGGAAGUUUUGUUGUAAACCAUCUUCACUCCAUGAUCUCUGAAUAAUUCGCAUCACGCUUUAUUGAGUUUUCCUCUGAUGUGAUUUGGGAAGCAUGCAGGAUACCGUGGGGCGUAAUGCAGCAUUCCUGCUCUUCUGGGGAAUCUUGAAUUCUUACUUUCCUCUAGAUUGCUGCCAAACUGCCCCUACUUUUACUGCCAGUUAUUCUCCAGACCUUUACGUCUCUGUUUCUACAACAACUCCAGACUCAAGUUCAUCUAUCUUCACCAAAACAUCAGAACCAAAUCCCCUCACAAACACAAGUACAACUGAGUCUUACUCAACCAUUCAACCAACUACACACCUGAAGAACACUUCUCUCAGUGACCCUUCUGACUCAAUAUCAGAACAACAAAGCACUGCCACUCAAACAACAGAGCCCUUAACCAAUGCCACUGCACAUGAGAUAAGUUCAACAGGAAGCACUAAAACAACUAGCUCGGACACAUCAACAACAUCUGAGACACCUACACUGACUCCAAUUCAUGCAAACAAUAAUUCCAUUACCACCACUGAUUCCAAAACACAAUACAAAGUAGAGCAAACCUCAGACAGCAAUACAUCCAUUUCUUGGUCUACUGGAACAUUAACUGGUACCCAAAGGCCUGAGCCAACAAACGAAACUUCAAC